rnacentral:rRNA from 1 species
UGGCGGCAGGCCUAACACAUGCAAGUCGAGCGGUAACAUUUCUAGCUUGCUAGAAGAUGACGAGCGGCGGACGGGUGAGUAACGCGUAGAAAUCUACCUAGUAGUGGGGGAUAGCCCAGAGAAAUUUGGAUUAAUACCGCAUACGCCCUACGGGGGAAAGCGGGGGAUCUUCGGACCUCGUGCUAUUAGAUGAGUCUGCGUCGGAUUAGCUUGUUGGUGAGGUAAUGGCUCACCAAGGCGACGAUCCGUAGCUGGUCUGAGAGGAUGACCAGCCACACUGGAACUGAGACACGGUCCAGACUCCUACGGGAGGCAGCAGUGGGGAAUAUUGCACAAUGGGCGCAAGCCUGAUGCAGCCAUGCCGCGUGUGUGAAGAAGGCCUUAGGGUAGUAAAGCACUUUCAGCAGUGAGGAAAGGGGUGUCGUUAAUAGCGCCAUCCUGUGACGUUAACUGCAGAAGAAGGACCGGCUAACUCCGUG